rnacentral:lncRNA from 1 species
AUUCUGAAAGAGAUGGGAAUACCAGACCACCUAACCUGCCUCUUGAGAACAACACAAGCCCCUCUGAAAUGUCUCAGAAACUUUCAGACCUCGGCAGAGUAAGGAGUGGAUUAUAUGGACAUGAGGGACCCCUGUGGGUGCUUUGUUACCCUUCUGUCCUUUGCACAUGAUAAAUGUUUAGUGGUGAUUGAGAACAAUAAAGAGAAUCUCUAUGUGGCUUAGACUGGAAUCACAGAGGAAUUCGCAGAAGGAAAGGCCCAAGAGUUAGGGGAAAGUGGAGAAGGCUUGGUUCAGAAGGUGUCACUUCUGAUGCUUUGGGGAGCUGACCCAACAGUGGGUUUGGCUGUUGUCACUGGGUUGAGAGAAGCACCCAUGAGGACAGUACUGGUCCAACGAGCCAGCAACAAACCAGCCAGCUCUGCACCUCAUUAGAAUCAGUACUUGUUACUUUGGGGACCUCUGGAGGAUACCUGGGUGUUAUUGGGGAGGGUGGUCAGAAAGAGAUCAUGUGGCUGUCACAGAAGAAAGAGGAUCAAUGAGUCCAUUUUGGAGUGGAGCAGGUGACUUCUGGUCCAGGAGCAGGUGGUCUGGACUGGACCAAAGAGGAGGGAAUUGCCGAGAGCCUGUGUGUUCAGAGGCAAUGGGAUUCAGCCACAGAGAGGUCAACUUGCCCGUUGCCUAGGAAAGGGCACCUUGGAUGCCUCUCAGUUGGAAGAUAUUAUCUCCAGAUGGAAUCCUCUGCCUGCUGGCAAAGUCAGCAGCAUGAUUUGGGACAAUAGUGAUGAAGAUGGUGAAUCUUGGAAAGGACUUAGGAGCCAAAGAAUGAGCCAGGCGUGGGUUUGUGCCCAACACCAUGUGUCCUGGCUGGAGCAUCCAGGCCGAAGCUUGAUUUACAUUCAGGCUGCAUCCCUGAUUGGUGAAGCUGGACUUGCUUGUCGUCCUGAUGAGUCUGAAGCUCGAUUCAAUGACAUUACAUGAAUGACUACAGCGCUAUAGCAUGUUCUGCACCGUUUCAAAUUGUAACCUAAAAAAAGGGAAGAACUUGGAUCGCAGCCAGAGUGUAAUGAUUUCAGUUCUUAAGAAAAUCCAGCAACCAUUACAGCACAUUCAAUAUUUUCUUGCUGUGGAAAUUUAAGAAUUGACUCUAAUCAAAUAGCAACCCCACCACCCCCAUCCUCCAUUUUCCUAUGGUUCCUGUUACUAAUAGGCCUCCCACGUCUGUUUUG